rnacentral:rRNA from 1 species
UACGAGGGGGGCGAGCGUUGUUCGGAAUUAUUGGGCGUAAAGGGUGCGUAGGCGGUUUGGUAAGUCUCGUGUGAAAUCUAUAGGCUCAACUUGUAGUCUGCACGAGAAACUGCCGGGCUUGAGUGUGGGAGAGGUGAGUGGAAUUCCUGGUGUAGCGGUGAAAUGCGUAGAUAUCAGGAGGAACACCUGUGGCGAAAGCGGCUCACUGGACCAUAACUGACGCUGAGACGCGAAAGCGUGGGGAGCGAACGGA